rnacentral:rRNA from 1 species
CCCCUAGUAACGGCGAGUGAAGAGGGAAGAGCUCAAAUUUGAAAGCUGGUACCUUCGGUAUCCGCGUUGUAACCUCGAGACACGUUUUCCGUGCGGCGCUAUGGACAAGUUCCUUGGAACAGGACAUCGUAGAGGGUGAAAAUCCCGUACUUGCCAUGGAUGUACCGUGCUUUGCGAUACGUGCUCUAAGAGUCGAGUUGUUUGGGAUUGCAGCUCAAAAUGGGUGGUAGACUCCAUCUAAAGCUAAAUAUCGGGGAGAGACCGAUAGCGAACAAGUACCGUGAGGGAAAGAUGAAAAGCACUUUGGAAAGAGAGUUAAAAGUACGUGAAAUUGUCGAAAGGGAAGCGCUUGAAGUCAGCCAUGCCGCUCAGGACUCAGCCUGGCUUUUGCUUGGUGUAUUUCCUGGGUAGCAAGUCAGCAUUGGUUUGGAUCGUCGGAGAAGCAUAGUCGGAAUGUGGCGCCCUCGGGCGUGUUAUAGCCUUCUAUUGGAUACGACGAUCUAGACCAAGGAACGCAGCGCGCCUUAUGGCGGGUCUUCGGACACCUUCGCGCUUAGGAUGCUGGCGUAAUGGCUUUAAGUGGCCCGUCUUGAA